rnacentral:rRNA from 1 species
GGCGGAAUUCGUGGUGUAGCGGUGAAAUGCUUAGAUAUCACGAAGAACUCCGAUUGCGAAGGCAGCUCACUGGAGCGCAACUGACGCUGAAGCUCGAAAGUGCGGGUAUCGAACAGGAUUAGAUACCCUGGUAGUCCGCACGGUAAACGAUGGAUGCCCGCUGUUGGUCUGAAUAGGUCAGCGGCCAAGCGAAAGCAUUAAGCAUCCCACCUGGGGAGUACGCCGGCAACGGUGAAACUCAAAGGAAUUGACGGGGGCCCGCACAAGCGGAGGAACAUGUGGUUUAAUUCGAUGAUACGCGAGGAACCUUACCCGGGCUUGAAUUGCAGAGGAAGGAUUUGGAGACAAUGACGCCCUUCGGGGCCUCUGUGAAGGUGCUGCAUGGUUGUCGUCAGCUCGUGCCGUGAGGUGUCGGCUUAAGUGCCAUAACGAGCGCAACCCUUCUUGUCAGUUACUAACAGGUUCCGCUGAGGACUCUGACAAGACUGCCAUCGUAAGAUGUGAGGAAGGUGGGGAUGACGUCAAAUCAGCACGGCCCUUACGUCCGGGGCUACACACGUGUUACAAUGGCAGGUACAGAGAGACGGUCCCUUGCAAAAUGGAUCAAAUCCUUAAAGCCUGUCUCAGUUCGGACUGGGGUCUGCAACCCGACCCCACGAAGCUGGAUUCGCUAGUAAUCGCGCAUCAGCCAUGGCGCGGUGAAUACGUUCCCGGGCCUUGUACACACCGCCCGUCAAGCCAUGAAAGCCGGGGGCGCCUGAAGUCCGUGACCGUAAGGAGCGGCCUAGGGCGAAACUGGUAAUUGGGGCUAAGUCGUAACAAGGUAGCCGUACCGGAAGGUGCGGCUG